GACGAACGCUGGCGGCGUGCUUAACACAUGCAAGUCGAACGGAAAGGCCCUGCUUUUGUGGGGUGCUCGAGUGGCGAACGGGUGAGUAACACGUGAGUAACCUGCCCUUGACUUUGGGAUAACUUCAGGAAACUGGGGCUAAUACCGGAUAGGAGCUCCUGCUGCAUGGUGGGGGCUGGAAAGUUUCGGCGGUUGGGGAUGGACUCGCGGCUUAUCAGCUUGUUGGUGGGGUAGUGGCUUACCAAGGCUUUGACGGGUAGCCGGCCUGAGAGGGUGACCGGCCACAUUGGGACUGAGAUACGGCCCAGACUCCUACGGGAGGCAGCAGUGGGGAAUAUUGCACAAUGGGCGGAAGCCUGAUGCAGCAACGCCGCGUGCGGGAUGACGGCCUUCGGGUUGUAAACCGCUUUCGCCUGUGACGAAGCGUGAGUGACGGUAAUGGGUAAAUAAGCACCGGCUAACUACGUG
rnacentral:rRNA from 1 species